rnacentral:rRNA from 1 species
UUUUGUUUAAUGAGUCUGCGAGUCAGUGUUUGUGGCAAGACUAAGGGCUUCCGGCCCGGAGUCGCAGCGAAAGCAAGUCCGAACAGGGCGCAAUAAGUCGCAGGUACUGGACCCGAAGCGGAGGUGACCUACCCUUGGCCAGGUUGAAGCAUGGGUAAAACCAUGUGGAGGACCGAACAGGUGAACGUUGAAAAGUUCUCUGAUGAGCUGAGGGUAGGAGUGAAAGGCUAAUCAAACCCCGUGAUAGCUGGUUCUCUUCGAAAUGCAUUUAGGUGCAGCGUCACGUGCUGAUGCGCGGGGGUAGAGCACUGACAAGGCUAGGGGGCACACCCGCUUACCAAACCUUAUCAAACUCCGAAUACCGUGCAAUGGAACGUGGCAGUGAGACAGUGGGGGAUAAGCUUCAUUGUCGAGAGGGAAACAACCCAGACCAGCAGCUAAGGUGCCUAAAUAACGCUCAGUGGAAAGGAUGUGGGAUUACACAGACAGUGAGGAUGUUGGCUUAGAAGCAGCCACCAUUUAAAAAAUGCGUAAUAGCUUACUCAUCGAGUGAUCCUGCGCCGAAAAUGAUUGGCGAUCAAGCGUUAUACCGAAGCUCUGGACUUUGCCGCAAGGCAGAGUGGUAGAAGAGCGUUGCAUGCGCGUCGAAGGGCGAUGGCGACUGACCCUGGAGCACAUGCAAGUGAGUAUGCAGACAUGAGUAACGUUAAGCCGGGUGAAAUCCCCGGCCGCCGUAAACCCGAGGUUUCCAGGGCAACGUGUUUCGUCCCUGGGUUAGCCGGGACCUAAGCCGAGGCCGAGAGGCGUAGGCGAUGGACAUCAGGUUAAUAAUCCUGAGCUCGCAACCCUUAAACUGGGGGGACGCAUGAGAAAAGAUGACUAGGUUAUUGAAUUCCGAGUUGAGUCCACGGACUCAGCGCAUCAUUGGAUCGAGUGCCAAGAAAAGCCCCAGCGUAUGCUAAGCGACCCGUACCGCAAACCGACACAGGUGGGUGGGUAGAAUAUACCAAGGCGUAAGAGUGAAACCUGGUUAAGGAACUCGGCAAAUUAGCCCCGUAACUUCGGAAGAAGGGGUGCCUGCAGCGAUGCAGGCCGCAGAGAAAUGGCCCAACCGACUGUUUAUCAAAAACACAGCACUCUGCAAAGACGCAAGUCGAAGUAUAGGGUGUGACACGUGACCAAUGCCGAAAGAUUAAGGCAAGGGGUUAGCCGCAAGGCGAAGCUCUAAACCCAAGUCCCGGUGAAUGUCGGCCGUAACUAUAACGGUCCUAAGGUAGCGAAAUUCCUUGUCGGGUAAGUUCCG